GGCAUCUUCACUCCGAAGACGAAAUAACUCCCGUAACAAGAUGGCGCCGACGAUUUAUGCCGUCCAAGGCCGAAGGUGGCGUCUACCUAUAUGAUGUCUAUGUAUAGGCCUAUGUCACGGAACAAUUGAAGACCGGAAGAAGCUCGCGGAGUAGGGUAACUGCUCUUCCGCUUAGCUUAGCUAAGCUCUUUACCAUGGCGGAGGCAGAUCGAUACCUGUGGACCAAGUCUCUCUCCAACCUACCUAAAUUGUCCUACGACGACGUCCUAAGGAUCGUAAAUCAGCACUCACGUGUCGAAACAUCUAAACUACGCAAAGGAUAUAAGUUCUUCUGGGAGAAGUACAUUUUUAAUUAUAGAAACACAUGACUACCACUUCACAGGGGAGCAAAGCGUGCCAACACCUCUGUCGUGCACCAGUGUUCUGCAGUCGUGGACCAAGGACACAGGUUUAUGUGUAUACCUCAGGCCUAGCCAAACAUCUUGUAUAGUCUACUCAAUAAUAGUAUUCGAAGUUCUUGUAUAUAGACAGACGCGACCAACACUGACUUAAGUGUUGCUACACUGACAAUAUGAUUUAUGUGCUGACAUAUUUUUUCUUUUUGCUCCAGGGGAUUCGCUCCAGGGGAUUCGCCCGGAACCCACUGACCAAUUUGUGGUCAGGAAACCCAAGGUUUGGGUUAGGUGUUUUAUUUUAACACAUACAUGGACACAUACCUCCUGAAUGCCAAGUAAAUAUGGCCGAGGGACACACACACCCCAUUUCAUUUAUUUAUUUCUGUUAAAUGUAUAUAUGUAAAUAUUUUAAUCAAACAAUUGGAAACAAACAUUCCUGAACAUUUGUUUAAGGUAACACACUCUGAGCACCUUUAAAGCAAGCCUGAAGACUUUUAUGUUUGCAUUAGCUUUCUGCUACAUCUUAAAUACAUUGCACUUUCUAAAAAGCUUUUUUAGAAAAGAGCUUUGCCUUUAUUUUUUAUUUUAAUACUAAAAUGCCUUUAACGUUCUAUUU
rnacentral:lncRNA from 1 species